UACGUAGGGUCCGAGCGUUGUCCGGAAUUAUUGGGCGUAAAGGGCUCGUAGGCGGUCUGUCGCGUCGGGAGUGAAAACUCAGGGCUCAACCCUGAGCGUGCUUCCGAUACGGGCAGACUAGAGGUAUGCAGGGGAGAACGGAAUUCCUGGUGUAGCGGUGGAAUGCGCAGAUAUCAGGAGGAACACCGGUGGCGAAGGCGGUUCUCUGGGCAGUGGGGGCAACCCCUGGAAGCUGACACUGAGGCGCGACAGCGUGGGGAGCAAACAGG
rnacentral:rRNA from 1 species